UAAUAAGUGUUUUAUGGCACUUUUUUAAAUCCAUAUCCACCUUGUGUGCAACGUCGGUCGAUCUUCUUUUUUUUGAGGAUCGACCAAAACAUCAGCCUUUUAUUUUUUAACUCUUUGUCUGAAAAAAUAUUAUGAAUAAACAAUUCAAAAUAC
rnacentral:misc_RNA from 1 species